rnacentral:rRNA from 1 species
CCUUCNANGNAAAAACNGNCGUUAAGGGACGAAGGCUUGUUUCCAAAUAACAGGAUUAGAUACCCUAGUAUUUUGAGCAGACAAUGAUGAGUGUCAUAUACAAGUUUUGUGUAUAAAUGAAAGUGUAAGCAUUCCACCUCAAGAGUAACGUGGCAACAUGGGAACUGAAAUCACUAGACCGCUUCUGAAACUCGUAGUGAAGUAUGUUGUUUAAUUUGAUAGUCCUCAAAUAACCUUACCACAAUUUGAAUAUAUGGUACAAGCGUUGCACGGCUGUCUUCAGUCAAUGUUGUGAAACUGUGGUUAGAUCCAUUAAAUUGACGUAAACCCUUACUUUAUUUAUAAUAGAGUAGUACGCCGC